UACGUAGGUGGCAAGCGUUGUCCGGAAUUAUUGGGCGUAAAGCGCGCGCAGGCGGUCCUUUAAGUCUGAUGUGAAAGUCCCACGGCUCAACCGUGGAGGGUCAUUGGAAACUGGGGGACUUGAGUGCAGGAGAGAAGAGUGGAAUUCCUGGUGUAGCGGUGGAAUGCGCAGAUAUCAGGAGGAACACCAAUGGCGGAAGGCAGGUCUCUGGGCCACAACUGACGCUGAGGAGCGAAAGCGUGGGGAGCGAACAGG
rnacentral:rRNA from 1 species